AACGUAGGAUGCGAGCGUUAUCCGGAUUCACUGGGCGUAAAGCGCGUGCAGGCGGUUUGGUAAGGUGGGCGUGAAAGCCCCCGGCUCAACUGGGAGAGGGCGUCCAAAACUACCAGACUAGAGAGCGAUAGAGGAAAAUGGAAUUCCCGGUGUAGUGGUGAAAUGCGUAGAUAUCGGGAGGAACACCAGUGGCGAAGGCGAUUUUCUGGAUCUUUUCUGACGCUCAGACGCGAAAGCUAGGGUAGCAAACGGG
rnacentral:rRNA from 1 species